CCAACGGCCCUCUUUAGGGCCACAAUUCUAACGUGUACGAAUCUCG
rfam:Heligmosomoides polygyrus genome assembly, scaffold: HPBE_scaffold0009476